AUUGAACGCUGGCGGCAGGCCUAACACAUGCAAGUCGAGCGGAUGAAGGUAGCUUGCUACCUGAUUCAGCGGCGGACGGGUGAGUAAUGCCUAGGAAUCUGCCUGGCAGUGGGGGACAACGUUUCGAAAGCAACGCCAAUACCGCAUACGUCCUACGGGAGAAAGCAGGGGCACUUCUGGCCUUGCGCUAUCAGAUGAGCCUAGGUCGGAUUAGCUCGUUGGUGGGGUACUGGCUCACCAAGGCGACGAUCCGUAACUGGUCUGAGAGGAUGAUCAGGCACACUGGAACUGAGACACGGUCCAGACUCCUACGGGAGGCAGCAGUGGGGAAUAUUGGACAAUGGGCGAAAGCCUGAUCCAGCCAUGCCGCGUGUGUGAAGAAGGUCUUCGGAUUGUAAAGCACUUUAAGUUGGGAGGAAGGGCAGUAAGUUAAUACCUUGCUGUUUUGACGUUACCGACAGAAUAAGCACCGGCUAACUCUGUGCCAGCCGCCGCAGUAA
rnacentral:rRNA from 1 species